rfam:Aedes albopictus isolate Foshan contig64468, whole genome shotgun sequence.
CUUCUCGUGAUAUAGUGGUAACGCGCCUGUCUAGUGAGUAGAAGUCGUGAGUUUGAGUCUCGCCGAGAAGA